UACGGGGGGGGCAAGCGUUGUUCGGAAUUACUGGGCGUAAAGCGCACGUAGGCGGAUUGGUCAGUUAGGGGUGAAAUCCCGGGGCUCAACCCCGGAACUGCCUUCGAUACUGAGAAUCUCGAGUCCGGGAGAGGUGAGUGGAACUCCGAGUGUAGAGGUGAAAUUCGUAGAUAUUCGGAAGAACACCAGUGGCGAAGGCGGCUCACUGGCCCGGUCCUGACGCUGAGGCGCGAAAGCGUGGGGAGCAAACAGG
rnacentral:rRNA from 1 species